CCUACGGGAGACAGCAGUGAGGAAUAUUGGUCAAUGGUCGGGAGACUGAACCAGCCAAGCCGCGUGAGGGAGGAAGGUACAGAGUAUCGUAAACCUCUUUUGUCAGGGAACAAAGGCGGGGACGUGUCCCCGGAUGAGUGUACCUGAAGAAAAAGCAUCGGCUAACUCCGUGCCAGCAGCCGCGGUAAUACGGAGGAUGCGAGCGUUAUCCGGAUUUAUUGGGUUUAAAGGGUGCGCAGGCGGUCUGUUAAGUCAGCGGUCAAAGCCCGGGGCUCAACCCCGGCCCGCCGUUGAAACUGGCAGGCUCGAGUUGGAGAGAAGUAUGCGGAAUGCGCGGUGUAGCGGUGAAAUGCAUAGAUAUCGCGCAGAACUCCGAUUGCGAAGGCAGCAUGCCGGCUCCAAACUGACGCUGAGGCACUAAAGCGUGGGUAUCGAACAGGAUUAGAUACCCCUGUAGUC
rnacentral:rRNA from 1 species